UACGGGGGGGGCAAGCGUUGUUCGGAAUUACUGGGCGUAAAGGGCUCGUAGGCGGCCAACUAAGUCGGACGUGAAAUCCCCAGGCUCAACCUGGGAACUGCGUCCGAUACUGGAUGGCUUGAAUCCGGGAGAGGGAUGCAGAAUUCCAGGUGUAGCGGUGAAAUGCGUAGAUAUCUGGAGGAAUACCGGUGGCGAAGGCGGGUCUCUGGGCCGAUACUGACGCUGAGGAGCGAAAGCGUGGGGAGCGAACAGG
rnacentral:rRNA from 1 species